AUAACGGUCCUAAGGUAGCGAAAUUCCUUGUCGGGUAAGUUCCGACCUGCACGAAUGGCGUAAUGAUGGCCAGGCUGUCUCCACCCGAGACUCAGUGAAAUUGAAAUUGCCGUGAAGAUGCGGUGUACCCGUGGCAAGACGGAAAGACCCCGUGAACCUUUACUAUAGCUUGACACUGAACAUUGAGCCUUGAUGUGUAGGAUAGGUGGGAGGCAAUGAAUUGUGUACGCCAGUAUGCAUGGAGCCGACCUUGAAAUACCACCCUUUAAUGUUUGAUGUUCUAACCUAUACUUUUGAAUCAAGGUAAGGGACACUGUCUGGUGGGUAGUUUGACUGGGGCGGUCUCCUCCUAAAGAGUAACGGAGGAGCACGAAGGUUAGCUAAUCCUGGUCGGACAUCAGGAGGUUAGUGCAAUGGCAAAAGCUAGCUUGACUGCGAGAGUGACGGCUCGAGCAGGUACGAAAGUAGGUCAUAGUGAUCCGGUGGUUCUGAAUGGAAGGGCCAUCGCUCAACGGAUAAAAGGUACUCCGGGGAUAACAGGCUGAUACCGCCCAAGAGUUCAUAUCGACGGCGGUGUUUGGCACCUCGAUGUCGGCUCAUCACAUCCUGGGGCUGAAGUAGGUCCCAAGGGUACGGCUGUUCGCCGUUUAAAGUGGUACGCGAGCUGGGUUUAGAACGUCGUGAGACAGUUCGGUCCCUAUCUGCCAUGGGCGUAGGAAAAUUGAGGGGGUUUGCUUCUAGUACGAGAGGACCGAAGUGAACGCACCGCUGGUGUUCGGGUUGUGAUGCCAAUUGCAUUGCCCGGUAGCUACGUGCGGAAUAGAUAAGUGCUGAAAGCAUCUAAGCACGAAACUAGCCUUGAGAUGAGUUUUCCCAGUAGAGAUACUGUAAGGUCCGUUUGAGACUAAGACGUAGAUAGGUCAGGUGUGUAAGCGUAGCGAUACGU
rnacentral:rRNA from 1 species